GGCCCUCGUAGCUCAGUGCAUAGAGCAUCGGUCUCUAAACCGUGUGUGCAGGUUCGAUUCCUGCCGGGGCACU
rnacentral:tRNA from 1 species